UACAGAGGGAGCUAGCGUUGUUCGGAAUUACUGGGCGUAAAGGGCGCGUAGGUGGCUCUACAAGUCAGAUGUGAAAGGCCUAGGCUUAACCUGGGGAUGGCAUUUGAGACUGUAGGGCUUGAGUCCGGGAGAGGAUAGCGGAAUUCCUAGUGUAGAGGUGAAAUUCGUAGAUAUUAGGAAGAACACCGGUGGCGAAGGCGGCUAUCUGGAACGGAACUGACACUGAGGCGCGAAAGCGUGGGGAGCAAACAGG
rnacentral:rRNA from 1 species